UCUAAUAUUCUGCGAUGUACAGAAAGUAACGCAUUAUUAUAAGUUUGAGAAUUUAUUGUCUAUACAAUGACUGUGCAAGGUGUGACUAUAUAGCGCGUGUGAAGGGGCAAUAUAACGGGAGUUCACGAUAGAUGUAACAAGUCAUGUAAUUAUUCUUAUUGUCUCAUUACUAUUACCAAAAUUGAUAUCUUGAUAAGAAGGAUAUUUCAACAAAAUCAUAUUGAUACUUCAAGAAAUAUCUUUAAGUACGGAGUAACUACAGUUUAAUAGGUUAUGAUUGCAUCUCUGUCAUUAGUUUGCCGGUUAAAUCUUCCUUCCGGAAUUUCCAAAUCAGUAGUCUAAGCAAUCGAACGUUGCAUUAUUCAUAACAUUUUGCGCACGUUGGAUAUGAAACGGGUUUUUUUAUAAUAGAUGCAGUCACGUUCCUUCUUCGUAAACCUGAUGCGGUUAGUUACGAAGUCGAAACGAUUUCCGGAUCAUAACGAAGUCGAGGUGAUACCAUUAUGGGUCAAACUGAACUAUUCUGCUGUGUCAGACACAAAGUAUUCGAGCAUGGAAGGUUAAAAUUCUUCACUCACUUGAUAAGGAUAAGCUCCUGGCCUGUAAUAGCUGCCUGUAUUUAUCGCAGGAUAACUUUUGCUGCUACCACACAUAGAAGCCAUCUUCGUUGAUUUUUCUUAUUUCACCACUGUUCACAACGAUCCCGUUAAGCACAGUUCCCGAUAUAUUCAAAUAGGCCUGCUUUUUUUGUAUCUCUUAAUGCGACGACCCAUAAAAAACCAGUUCAUUUUUUCGGGCCACCUUUAAAUGCUCUCGAACUUUGUCGAUCUCAUUCUUCCCAUCGACAGGUAUUCGCUACUUCUAUUAUAUUUGAUCAAUAUCAAUUUCUCUGAUAAAUGAAUUUUCAGCGAAUAAACUGUUCCGAAAUUGACGAAUAACACCGUGUAAUUGGAUCCUCUUCCUUGUUUCUAGGCUGCGUUCGACUAGCAGAAGCGAAGAAGGAUCUCCCUCAUCGGAUAUCAAAAUUUCGAUCGCAUUUUUACGAGUAGCGAGCGAACUUCGCGUGUAUAUCCGCGGUACGUCGAAGCGUUCUCAUAAAACAAUCGGUUGAGGUGUUGAACGGAAAGAAAACGGAAACGAGUGGAGGCACGAAGGCACACAAGAAGUACGUCCUUACGCCGAGACGGUUGACCACCAACUGACAGCGGAAGAUCUUCACGCACCGUCGUUCUUCAUCUUCAUCCUUCCCGCUCGGUUAACCGGCCUGGUUGUUUGCCGCUUAUUCGACUUCUUUUUAAGCCAACGAGCUUUGUCGGCUAUCUUUUCUUCACGCCACUUUAGUUUUUGGCGGCAUCUUCCUCGUGAGAACCAUUCUGCCAUCGCUUUUCUUCCUUUAAUUUUCAACUUCUUUCGUUUUAAUCUUGUUUUUCGGUUGCUCUUCGUUUCUUCUUUUCUCUUUUACGCUCGUUCUCUUUCACUUCGAACUUUUGUGACUCGCUGCGGUAAUUUGGUCUCACCUCUUUGGAAGUGACUGAUGAUCGAGACGGUGGAAACAGGUAGAACGAUUAAGCUUUUUGUUAUGGCGAUAUUCAAUUAAAAAGUCUUCACGCUGCAGGGACGAAUAUCUGUGAUACAAUUUUUCACGCUUCCUGCAUACAGUUAGUUAUAUUUUAUUUUGUUAAAUUUAUUUACAACAUUUUUUACCUCAUUAUUUUCGACAAAUUCCUAUCUCGGCAUCUGCGCUGAUAGAUAAAUGUUUUAAUACCAACUAAAACGUUUCCAAGAGAUCAUUAGAUUUUAUCCGACUCGAUUCCCCGCCUAGCAACAAGAUUUUUCGAAGCCCUCUUUGUAUUGUCCGUCCAUUCUUCGCGACGAGUCCUGCUGUUUCUCCGCCACGUCCACUCAUUAGUCGACUCUUAACAAAACGGAUGGUCUUUCCAUUGUCAUUUUACUAACGGUAUUAAAAUUUGCACUCGCAAAAUUUCUCAUGGUGGACACUCGGUGUUCACGGACGCGUUUUGACGGCCUGAUUCCUAACCACGGUUAAUUAAUGUGAUUCGUAUACGUCAAGCUGCGAACUGUACCAUGUAGUAGACGAAGAAGUUUUUUAUAACGGAUUUUCAUGAAAUGCUAAAGCGAACUUCGUCGUCCAAGGGUCAAGCAUAAAGACUAAGCUGGUUAAGUGGGGCAUACGUAUCCUGUUGGUCGUAAAAAGAUUAAGUUAACUCGAGAGGAUAUUGAUGGACAUACUUUCGUUAAUGUAACGCUGUUAAUUAUUCCCUGCACGUCACUGAUCUUCAUUAAAUGCGUUAUUACGCUGUAAUUUACAUGGUAUCGUGUUACAGUUAUUUAAUAGUCGCCUAUACACGCGUUACUUUAUAAUAAUUUAUACGCGUUUGGGCUUAGUCGAAGGUAAAAGAAUACAUCAUCGUGUCUGACGGCGAUUUAUCGCGACAAAUUUUCGGACGAAAUAAUUAUUUCUGACGCUACAGGGAAGACAUACGGCCAAUCUUUACGCUGAUGGAUCGUUUUACUUGGGUCGGAGGAAAUUCCUGUACAUAAUAUAAAAGGAUAAAAAAAUUGGUAAAAAAUUCUGCAUUGGAAUGGCAACGAAGAAACGUCAACAUUGUCCGGUACCUGUAAUAAUAUAAACAUUCGAUAGCCUCUAUAACCGGGUUACUGUUUUCGCAUCUCGCGCUCGACCGUACACUCCGUGGCCGACAGGAUAAUAAUCCGGUACUAACAGAGGAACAUGACCGCGAAGCGAAUAGACGUGCUCUCUGAUACGGCUGGCGUGCUACAUUUAAAACGUUUACGCGCGACGAUUAAGAUCGUUAUUGAACAGGUUGCGAUGAUUUUUUCCACGGGGCACGCAUAGGCCUUGUUCAAUAAUCAACGUUAAACUUGCUGCUUCUGACUCAACCUCUCGGACCAAGAGGGGAAACGAUCGUCGUAUCAGAAUAAUGGCGAGGGAUGCGGCCGUGCAACUCUCCGUUGGGAUGCUGAGAUAUCGGGCAAAAAGCUUUUCUCUCCGCGACUGCUGGUAUUUCAUCGGUCGUAUAAUCAUAUCCGACAUAACCGUCGUUAUCUGGACCACGAGAUUCAACCGCUUGUGCUUCGAGGGUUUAUGCAAUUUUUUCGAUUCCUUAAUGGCGUAUCACGAGAAGGGUCCCAUGAUGUAUUGUAGAAGCUGAAACGUGGAAGAUGAGAUUUAAAAAUCUGGAAAUGUGGAGAAGUAUCCAAUGCACGAGUGAUACGAUCUGUAUACCUACACAUCCGUUGGGGAAGAUACUGAUCUGUACACAUCUAUCCAACCCUUGUUCCAUACGAGUAUAAUCUAACUGGAAUCGAUCCGAAUGCUCGUUUUCGAAACUCCGUGCACGAGGAUAACAGUGGUAGCAAUCUCGCAGAAUCCGAUCCAUUAUCAUCGCGUAUCGGUCACCGAGAAGCACGCGAGAAUUAUCGAUCAGACGCUGGCCGCCCGUAAAUAACAGUUUUUAUACCGUUUUCAUACUCGACUGACGAAGAUUUAUUCGAAAAAGUCUGUUUUUUGUUCUUUUCUUUCGAAUCAUCAAGCCCAUCUCCGUUCACGUGCACCACGGCCGCAUAAGAGCGUGGUAGAUUUGCCGAAGGUAUACCCCUUGCAGCCGACUACGUGGUGGAAUGCGUUGCUGAAAACGCUGUGGGUGAUUUUUGCAGGGCCGUAGCGGGGCCCCUUUCUCUCCUAUGUUUCCGAACGGAAAUAUUCCUGGCCAAUAUAUUUUUCUCUUGGACGAACACGCUCGGUGAUCGGUGAAAUUUAUUCACGGUUGCGCGCAAGAAAUAUAACUCAAUUUAUAAUUGCUUGGUCGGACGGGAGGAAGGGGUUCGGUGACCCUCUCGAUCAACGUAUUCCUCCACUGGCUGCAAGAAAAACUUUCCUGUCUUUUAGUCGCUCUUCGAGAUGCUCUUCCGUUUCUUCGUAUAUCUACUACUUUUUUCUCUGUACAUUUACCUGAACGAUUCCGAAUAGUGCUACCGAGUGUGUACCACUCAUAACUUUGAUCAAUUACCCCUCAAAUAUGAUUUUAUAGAACUAAAUGUUGUAGAAUUGUAACAUUAAAAUUUAACAAAACGAUAGUAUUAUUAUAUCGAUACCUAAUCGUGUCGCUUAUAGAUAGUUACAUUUUAUUAUUCAGAGUUUGGGCUUGAGGAUAGGUUCAGUCGGUAUUUUAUUGGGUUACAUAUCUUUUCUCUUUGUAUUUGCACGUGCAUAGGAGAUGAAAACAUUCGAAUCAUAGAGUGUUCGUAAUUAAAAUUAUACCCAUAAUAAUUGUAUAGAUAAAAAUACUUUUUGCAAGUAUUUUUAUACAGAGAAUUUUUAACAACAGAGACUGAAAUUAUGAAACUCUUCCAUCGAGAAAUUUCGAAGUGACAAAUCGUAAAAUUUUCAAAGUGAUUUGUAUUUGAAAACGACGACCGUCCGGUAAUAUAUACGCGAAUUCUUGCUACAUCUUGUACCUUUUUGCCGUAUACAUCGAAGCUCGUUAAAGAAUUUGUGGGAAAAAGCGACGAGCCCGCGGUAGAUUUGAGCGGUGAUUUCGUGUGUCGCGUUGUUGGCUGGAUCUCCUCGUGGCAGCAGAUGCUACCAAAAUGUAUGCGCGAAGGGAUCAAAACGUAAUAAAAAUCUCUCGAAAAAAUGUCGACCGAUAAAUCAGCGGUGGCUACGUGGUCGCUUACAUACGCGCGGCUGUCUGUACGAAUUUUAUAUGCGAAUACGUAUGCGCGAUAUGCGCGGUUCAAGCUCGAAGGCAAAUUUUCUUGUCGAACAGCGCUACGUAACGAGCGGCCCUCGAGCACCUUUUCGGAACACCAGGACCGUAUCUACCUUCGAACCCCGAUUUUUCUUCUCCUUACAUAUUUACAACUAUUACUCCUCUUAUUCCCUUAACACUUUUACUGCCGCCCCAUAAUCAAUUUAUAAAAAAUUCAAUCAUUUACCAAUUUUAUUUUUUGUUAAUCUUUCUUACGAUUUUUCUUAAGAAACUGUUUAUAAUUUGUAAUGCAACAUAUGUGACUUAUGUAAAAAUUCAUGAGUUUCAUAGAAGUGGCAGUGAAAGUGUUGAGAUGUCGAAUCUAUUAACGAAUAAUUUAUACUAUAUUGUGUACUAAUGUAUAAUAAUUAUUCCGUAUGUACAAGUUACAGUAUGAUUGUCUAAACUUAAUUAUCUGAACGUAAAUCUGCAACACUUUAAAGGAAUCUAAGUUUCGAAAUGAAUACACAUUUUAUAACAGAUCUUCUAUGUAACACAAGUGUUACUUCGUUCUACAUAUUUAUACGUGUUUAAGCAAUUACAGUCUGCAGAUUAAUGUUCAGUAUGCAAAUCUAUAAAAGAACGUCUAUAGAACGAUGCAAGUCCACGAGACAAAAAUAUUAUACAUGAGUACAAUAUCGAACUUGUAGAAAUUUUGACUAAUCUCAAAU